ACUUUGGCAGGAAAUUGCAGGAAAACUGAUCUAGGAACUUAGUGGCCCUAGAAUUUAGGGCUCCGGACAUCCAGUUCUUUGCUCUUUUAUAUGAAAUGCACCUCGCCUAGAGCUCUGUUUUCUUAAGUCUCUACUUGAUUGGAUAAGAUGGAAUUAAGAAGGAGGACCUGACCAUUGGCCCCUGAUUACAUGUCUUUGAUAUCAAAAGUUUUUCUGGGCUUCCCUGGUAGCACAGUGGUUGAGAAUCCGCCUGCCAAUGCAGGGGACAUGGGUUUGAUCCCUGGUCCAGGAAGAUCCCAUAUGCCAUGGAGCAGCUAAGCCCACGCACCACAACUACUGAGCCUGUGCUCUAGAGCCCGCAAGCCACAACUUCUGAUCCCGCGUGCCACAACUACUGAAGCCCACGUGCCUAGAGCCUGUGCUUCACAGCAAGAGAAGCCACCGCAAUGAGAAGCCCGCGCACCACAAUGAAGAGUAGCCCCCACUCACCGCAACUAGAGAAAGCCCAUGUGCAGCAACAAAGACCCAACA